rnacentral:tRNA from 1 species
GGAAGCGUGCCUGAAAGUUAAGGACCUCCUUGAUAGGGAGAACUAUAGGAGUUCA